rnacentral:rRNA from 1 species
CCUACGGGAGGCAGCAGUAGGGAAUCUUCCACAAUGGGCGAAAGCCUGAUGGAGCAACGCAGCGUGGGUGAAGAAGGUCUUCGGAUCGUAAAACUCUGUUGUUAGAGAAGAAAGUGCGUGAGAGUAACUGUUCACGUUUCGACGGUAUCUAACCAGAAAGCCACGGCUAACUACGUGCCAGCAGCCGCGGUAAUACGUAGGUGGCAAGCGUUAUCCGGAUUUAUUGGGCGUAAGGGGAACGCAGGCGGUCUUUUAAGUCUGAUGUGAAAGCCUUCGGCUUAACCGGAGUAUUGCAUUGGAAACUGGGAGACUUGAGUGCAGAAGAGGAGAGUGGAACUCCAUGUGUAGCGGUGAAAUGCGUAGAUAUAUGGAAGAACACCAGUGGCGAAAGCGGCUCUCUGGUCUGUAACUGACGCUGAGGUUCGAAAGCGUGGGUAGCAAACAGGAUUAGAUACCCGGGUAGUC